UACGUAGGGGGCAAGCGUUUGUCCGGAAUCAUUGGGCGUAAAGCGCGCGUAGGCGGCCCGGUAAGUCCGCUGUGAAAGUCGGGGGGCUCAACCCUCGGAUGCCGGUGGAUACUGUCGGGCUUGAGUGCGGAAGAGGCGAGUGGAAUUCCUGGUGUAGCGGUGAAAUGCGCAGAUAUCAGGAGGAACACCAAUUGCGAAGGCAGCUCGCUGGGACGUUACUGACGCUGAUGCGCGAAAGCGUGGGGAGCAAACAGG
rnacentral:rRNA from 1 species